rnacentral:rRNA from 1 species
GACGAACGCUGGCGGUGUGCCUAACACAUGCAAGUCGAACGGUAAGGCCCUUUCGGGGGUACACGAGUGGCGAACGGGUGAGUAACACGUGAGUAACCUGCCCUCAUCUCUGGGAUAACAGUCGGAAACGGUUGCUAAUACUGGAUAUGAGCUUGCAAGGCAUCUUGUGGGUUGGAAAGAUUUUUUUGGUUGGGGAUGGACUCGCGGCCUAUCAGCUUGUUGGUGAGGUAGUGGCUCACCAAGGCUUCGACGGGUAGCCGGCCUGAGAGGGCGACCGGCCACAUUGGGACUGAGAUACGGCCCAAACUCCUACGGGAGGCAGCAGUGGGGAAUAUUGCACAAUGGACGGAAGUCUGAUGCAGCAACGCCGCGUGCGGGAUGACGGCCUUCGGGUUGUAAACCGCUUUCAAUUGUGACGAAGCUUUUUGUGACGGUAGCAGUAGAAGAAGCGCCGGCUAACUACGUG